rnacentral:rRNA from 1 species
AUACGGAGGGUGCAAGCGUUGUCCGGAUUUAUUGGGUUUAAAGGGUGCGCAGGCGGUGCGUUAAGUCAGUGGUGAAAUCUUCCGGCUCAACCGGGAAACUGCCAUUGAUACUGGCGCACUUGAGUACGGACGAGGUAGGCGGAAUUUAUGGUGUAGCGGUGAAAUGCAUAGAUACCAUAAAGAACACCGAUAGCAAAGGCAGCUUACCAGACCGUAACUGACGCUCAGGCACGAAAGCGUGGGGAGCAAACAGGAUUAGAAACCCUAGUAGUCC